ensembl:lncRNA novel transcript, sense intronic to LIPC
CAGAAGGGAAUGAAGUGGGGUCAAAUAUAUGUAAUGGCAUGGAAACAUGCUAUGAGAUCAAGCCAAAAGAAAAGAAAAAGUAGAAUGCAAAAUUUUACAUUUGCAUUAAGGAAAAAACACGUUAGAAGAAAAUGCACUUAAAUAAAUUGCUCUGUGUGAUA